UCUAAUGUGGAGGCCACGUGGUCUGGGUCUGUUCAUGACUCCAGGAUUUAUGGAGAGUCUAACCUGAGCAACAGACUGCAGCGUGGAGAGUUUGAUGGCCUUCUGCUGGGUGACAGGGGUUACCAUGCCAACCCAGGCUGAUGACCUCAUACCCUGACCCUGAACCAGGCCCCCAACAGAACUUCAACCGGACUCACUGCAGGACCAGAGCCCGGGUGGAGAUGACCAUAGGCCUGCUGAAAGCCCGUUUCCAGAGCCUACGUCUCCUCAGGGUGACCCCUGAGAGGGCCUGUGAUAUUACUGUGGCAUGUGUUGUUCUUCAUAAUAUUACCACUAUUAGAGGAGAGCAACACCCUGCCCUACAAACUGAAGACCCAGAUGAUGAGCCCAUCCACCUGCAGCUAUCCAGGACAGCAGAGCAGUCAGAGACACCGUAUGCAAUAAUCACGUUAGAGUUUAAGUCUCCAUCAUCACCACCACAGCAAAUAAAGACAUGAUACACAUUUCA